CUCGGGGGGCGGGCCAAGGGGGACGGGGAGUCUGCGGCGGUUAAUUCCUUUUACAGUGCGGCUCUGCUUCACUCCAUUUGGGCUUUUCUGAAGCUGCGAGAGAUGGUCAGGUCCGGAUCUCGACCGGGCCAGGUAUUAUCUUCAGGAAAACACACUGGACCUGCUAAAUUAACAAAUGGAAAGAAAGGGACCCAUUUGAGAAAGAUAUCCCGUUUUAAUGCAGAUUCUGGCUAUCCCACUCAUUCUGAUUCAGAAAGUCAGACUGAAACUGUACAAGGGCUUGAUGGUUGUGCUUCUUUGCUGCGGGACAUUUUGAGAAAUGAAGAUUCAGUAGGUUCAGAAAUAGCAUAUUCAGAAAAUAGAUAUAACCCCAGACCUGUAGAAAGCAAACGAUAUGGAUCUAAAAAGAAAGGACAUGAAAAACGUACUGUACCUCUGGUAGUCUGGAAGGAAAUUUUAUCUUCAGACAAUAAGAAACAGAUUCCUAAUGAUGCUUCUGCUGGAAGUGAAAGAGACUCAUCAGAUAUACCAGAAAAUUGGUCACUACAAGAUCAUUAUAGAAUAUAUUCACCCAUAAUAUACCAAGCCCUCUGUGAGCAUGUGCAGACUCAAAUGUCACUGAUGAAUAACUUGGCUUCAAAGAACAACCCUAAAGGAAUUCCUACUGCACCUUGCCACACUGUGUCUGGUUCUGAAUCUCAGCCAUCUCCAUAUUCUAAUUAUAGCUUAUCCACCUCUACCCCAGUCCAGUUACCUCAGCAACCACCCUGCCCUCCAAUGGUUCAUUCUGAAGUUCAGACUGAUGGUGACAAUCAGUUUGCAUCACAGGGUAGAACAAGUCCUGUGAACUGUACUGAUGAUGUUCUAAGGAAUUCCUUCAGUACUAGUCUUGGAGUUCCCUGUAGCCUGCCCCAAACUGACAAACCAGCUACUCCAACAUUGCAGCAACUGGGUCUUGCUAAUGGAAUUCUGCCACAACAAAGAGUUCCUAAGGAACCAGACCUACUAAAGGGUUUCCAAACAUAUACGAAACUGUUGCGUUCUCAUCCAGACAGUCAGACUUGCUGCAGCCCCACCCUAUUACAGCCAGAUUUCUUGGCUACUAAUGAAGAAAAAUAUAUUAAAGAACAAAUUGGAGAGGUCAGAAGUGAAAGAAAGGAUUUAAACAUACCUGUGCAAGAUACAAGAAUAAAGGAUGUGCAGAAUGCAAAAAAUGUGAACCAGAGUGCUGAAAAAGUUAGAACUAUCAAGUAUUUGUUGGGAGAGCUCAAGGCCCUGGUAGCAGAACAAGAAGAUUCAGAAAUUCAGAGGUUGAUUACAGAACUGGAGUUGUAUAUAUCUCUGCUUCCAACAGUAAGUGGAAACACAAAUAUUCAGGUUGAAAUAGCACUGGCCAUGCAACCACUAAGAAGUGAAAAUGCUCAUUUACGCAGGCAAUUGAGAAUUUUGAACCAGCAACUUAGAGAACGAGAAAAAACUCAAAAGUCAUCUGGUUCUCUGGAAUGCAACCUUGAAUUGUUUUCUCUUCAAUCAUUGAACAAGUCACUGCAAAAUCAAUUACAGGAGUCACUAAAGAGCCAAGAAUUACUACAGAGUAAAAAUGAAGAGCUUUUAAAAGUGAUACAAAGUCAGAAAGAUGAAAACAAAAAAUUUGCUUGUAUAUUUAAAGAGAAAGAUCAAACUUUACUUGAAAAUAAACAGCAAUUUGACAUUGAGACAACAAGAAUGAAAAUUGAAUUGGAGGAAGCUUUAGUCAAUGUGAAAAGCUCCCGGUUUAAGUUAGAAGCUGCAGAAAAGGAAAAUCAAAUUUUGGGAAUAACAUUACGUCAGCGUGAUGCUGAGGUGACUCGACUAAGAGAAUUAACCAGAACUUUACAGACCAGUAUGGCAAAGCUUCUCUCAGAUCUUAGUAUGGACACUGCUCGCUGCAAGCCUGGGAAUAAUCUUACGAAAUCACUUCUGAACUUUUAUGAAAAACAACCUCAACAUGACCCAAUCCCUGCUCACACUUCCAUAAUGAGCUAUCUAAAUAAGUUAGAACCAGUUCACACUAUUACUACACGUUCAGAGCCACUUUCUACAAUUAACAAUGAGGAAAACACAGUGCCAGAUAGACCCUAUGAAAAUGUUCUGCCCUCUAAAGGCCCUCAGCAUACUAAUGCUAGGAACAUGGUGGAAGCAUCAGCCCCUGGAAUCAUUUCUGCCCUUUCAAAACAGGAUUCUGAUGAGGAGAGUGAAGUUACAACUUUAAUAGAAGAUGAGUGUAAUUUGGAUAAGACAGUUUACAUUCCGUUUGCUAGAAGCACUUCUAAAAAGAAAUCACCACCAUCUAAGAGAUUAUCCCCCCAGCCACAGAUCACUGUUGCUCCACCGCAGACGGUCAGUGGACGUGUUGCUGAAAAAGAAAAUAAAUCGUGUGCACUUGGAGUUUGUUCCGCUUCCAAAGAGGAAGGAGUUGCACCUGAGAAACUUUCCAGAACAGCUGAUAUGGAGGACAAGCAACUCCUCAAGAAAAUAAAGGAAGCCAUUUGCAAGAUACCUCCUGCCGCUGAGGAGCCAGAGGAAUUGGCUGCGUGUCAUGGGCCCUCCACUUGUCAGAACAGCAGCAUUCAAGUGAAGAGUAGUGCAGUCUCUGAUGGUAGCUUUUUAAAUUCUGAUUUAACCUCUGACUGGAGCAUGUCUUCUUUUUCAACGUUCACUUCCCGUGAUGAACAAGACUUCCGAAAUGGCCUUGCAGCACUGGAUGCCAACAUUGCUAGACUCCAGAAGUCCUUGAGGACUGGUCUUCUGGAGAAGUAAACUCAGAAGAAAAGUUGUUUUUAAGAAUAGAACUUGGCUACAUUGAAUAUAUAUUUUAAAUUUCUUUAAAGUUUUAUAUUAAUUAUGUGUGAAAUAAUAAAUUGUAUGAAUAGUAAAUUAUUGGAAUAUAUUGACACUGGAACUUUUAAAAACAAGUCAUCUUAAGAAAUUGACAUUUGCUAAGAGAAGAAAGAUGUGUGUAACUAGGAAAAUAUUGUAAGUAUUGUAAAUAAUAUUUAAUUUAGUAUUUAUCAAUUAGAGUUUAUUCUUACUCUGCUGGGCUCAGGGUGCAGGUUGGAAGGAUUCUCUGGUUAUUCUAAAGGAUAAUGGGAAGGGAGUCUCUGGGUACAGUUUACUAUAUUAAAACUAGAGUUUCUUUUCUCUUUCAGGAUUCCUGUUUGGUUUUUAAUGGCAUUGUGUUUUUAUGUGGGAUGCUCUGUGCUACAGGCUGGUGUUAUUGGUCUUAGUUGCAGCACAUGGGAUCUUUAGUUGCAGCAUGUGGGAUCUAGUUCCCUGACCAGGGAUCGAACCCGGGCCUCCUGCAUUGGGAGCACAGAGUUGUAACUGCUGGACCACCAGUGAAGUCUCUGGCCAUGAACUUUUAAAACUGAUUUUAACGAAUAUUUAUUCAAAUCAAGAACAUUGAACAGAGAAGCAAAAAAUUAGGGACAAGGCAAUGAGACAGCAAGAGGAAACGAAGCAGAAGCUGGCAGAGUUCAGGAAAGAAAUGGAAGGAAAAAAUUAAGCCACCUCAGAAAUGAAGGCAAAAUUGACAGUAGGAUGAGGGAAUAUCAGCUUUAAAAACAUAGUGGUUUUGAUAUGAAAUCCUAGGUUCAAACUUGUUUUCCUUCAGCACUUUGCACAUUACACUGUUGCCUUCUGGCUCCCAGUGGCUAUGAGGAAGACUGUCAUGGACCAGAGCCUUGUUGCUUUCAAGGUGACAUAAUUUUUCUCUCUGGAAGCCUUUAAAAUUUUCUCUGGCUUUGAUGAUCUUAAAUUUCACUCCAAUGAAUAUGACAGUGUUUUGUUUCUGUUUUUAAUGUCUCCUGUU